UUAAUGAAGAUUUCUCCAGUGCCCACGAAGCACUCACUUGACAGCAUCGGCAGCUGAGGGAACAGAAGCAGCCGUGCCAGUGCCUGGCUUGCCUGGCAACCCUGACCAAGGGUGAGGCUGAAGAGGUGCUGGCUCCAGUAGAGAGGAUGACUGCCUGUCUGGGGAAAGCCACCAGGCUCGAAAGCAGGCCAUGGCAAAGCUGAUGGGGAUGACUACAGGGUCCAACAUGAAAGCUGGUGUGCUAGAGAGGCUUAAGAAGACCCUGGAUGGACCCUGUGAAUUCUGUCACAAGGACUGGGGACAAAUCAGGAACAGAGUGAUUUGAGAGACCAUCCUUCACCAAGAUGCUUGUGGACAUCUGCCUAUUUCCACUCACAUGUUUGUGUCUCGUGUGAUAUUCUAUCUUGUGAACCUCCCUGUAAGCAAUUUUGCUGUCAGUUAAUUUGCAGCUACAAACCUAGGUAGCGGCAUUAAACAAAAGUUUAUUUUGCUGUCAGUUAAUUUGCAGCUACAAACCUAGGUAGCGGCAUUAAACAAAAGUUGCAUAGCCUGAUUUUACAUUAAAGAAAUGUAGAUCAUUGGAUCAUUCCAGGCUCGCCAUGGCUUGACCUCACUUGGGCUUUUUUGUUGUUGUUCUUUUUUUUUUAGUACUUUCCUUAUUACGGCAAGAUUGUGUUCAUGUGUGUACAGUAGUCAAAAUGACAGAAAACUAUACACAAGAUCAAGUCUCCUUGAUUCCCAUUUUCCCAGGCCUAUAUUUGUUACCUUUACUUUUGUAUUUUAUUAUUAUUAACUCUCAAUAGUUUCCUUAUAGUUUUACAUUUCAUGUAUUAAUAUAGCACAGUACCCUCUUCUCCUUGCCACUUUGUGAAAUGUGCUCUGUGUUAAUUUAAAUUUAGCAAUAUUCAUAAAGGGAGGGGAGCCUGAUUAGACAACAGCAUGGGACUAGGGGAGAGAAGAAAAUAAAAUGAAGGGUAAUUGUGGGGUUAGAUAUCAUCAAAAUAUUUAACAUGCAUGGAUGAAAGUAACACAUUCAAACCCAAUAUUUUGUAAAAGUGUAUGUACCUAAUAAAAACUUUAUGAAAUACCUA